UACAGAGGGUGCAAACGUUGUUCGGAAUUACUGGGCGUAAAGCGCGUGUAGGCGGCAGGGCAUGUCGGAUGUGAAAUCCCGUGGCUCAACCACGGAAGUGCACCCGAAACUGCCCAGCUUGAGUCUCGGAGAGGAAGGCGAAUGCUUGGUGUAGAGGUGAAAUUCGUAGAUAUCAAGCAGAACACCGGUGGCGAAGGCGGGUCUCUGGGCCGAUACUGACGUGAGGAGCGAAAGCGUGGGGAGCGAACAGG
rnacentral:rRNA from 1 species